UACACUCUUGAAGUGUAUAUAAAUGAAGUUGAUAGACAAUUAGAUAGAAAGGUCAAUAUCAUCAUAUCUGAAAAGGGUGAUAAAUUUUAUGGUAUUUAUGAUGAACCCAAUUAUAAUUCUUUUGCUAGAUUCUUGAAAAAAUAGGUAUAUGAUUUACCAGAUGUGUUACAGCAUAAUAUGAUUGCUGAAAGAUAUCAUCGUACCUUAUAGAUAUGGUUAUGAGCAUGAUAGACUAUUCUUUUGUACCCAAAUCAAUGUGAAAAGAAGCUCCAAGGA
rnacentral:lncRNA from 1 species